GGUUGUUACAAGUAAGCAAUCAUCUGUGGGCUAGCCUGGUAACCAAACUGGUGUAAGAUGUUUUCUCCUGCCCUAGAGGAAAUAUACUCUUGAGUUUUAAAUAGCCUACGUAGAAACUAACUUGCUGUUUCAAAGCUAGGGGCCGUAAAAGCAUGCUGGUUCAAAUAGUAAAUCCUAAAUUCUAAGUAUAAUUACCUAUAUAACCUGGGAUAUAGGAUUAGGAAUCUGGAUGUAAGUGAAACCAGGAGGCUGAAAUUUAUCCCUCAAAAGGGCAAGCUGGUUAAAGGAAAUGAAUUCCAGAGUCUUAACAUUUGGAAGAUACUGAAAGCUGCCAUGUAGUGGUUAAUUUUAUUACAUCAUUUCUUAAGAAUAAUUUAGAGGAGGGGCCAGGGAGGUUUGGGUGUGUAGUAAUUGGUCUGUGGGAAGACUGCGGAAGUCUUUA
rnacentral:lncRNA from 1 species